rnacentral:rRNA from 1 species
GACUACCCGGGUAUCUAAGCCCGUUCGCUCCCCACGCUUUCGUCUCUGAGUGUCAGGUAAGGCCCAGCAAGCUGCCUUCGCCAUUGGUGUUCCUUCUGAUAUCUACGGAUGUCACUCCUACACCAGAAAUUCCACUUGCCUCUACCUACCUCUAGCUAAUCAGUUUCAAGCACAGUCUAUACGGUUGAGCCGCAAGAUUUCGCACCUGACUUGAAAAGCCGCCUACAGACGCUUUACGCCCAGUAAUUCCGGAUAACGCUUGGACCCUACGUAUUACCGCGGCUGCUGGCACGUAGUUAGCCGGUCCUUAUUCUUCACCUACAGUCAUAAUCUUCGGUGAUAAAAGCAGUUUACACGCCGAAACGCUUCAUCCUGCACGCGGUAUUGCUCCAUCAGGGUUGCCCCCAUUGUGGAAGAUUCCUUACUGCAGCCCCCCGUAGG